CCAAUAGCGUAUAUUAAAGUUGUUGCAGUUAAAAAGCUCGUAGUUGAAUUUCAGGCCUGGCUGGACGGUCCGCCCUUCGGGUGAGUACUGUCUGUGGUCGGGUCCUACCUUCUGGCGAAGCGUCAUGGCCUUAACCGGCCGUGGCGGGGAACCAGGACGUUUACUGUGAAAAAAUUAGAGUGUUUAAAGCAGGCGUUAGCUUGAAUACAUUAGCAUGGAAUAAUGAAAUAGGACGUUUGAUCAUAUUUUGUUGGUUUCUAGGAUUGACGUAAUGAUUAAUAGUGAUAGUUGGUGGCAUUAGUAUUCAAUUGUCAGAUGUUAAAUUCUUGGAUUUAUUGAAGACUAACUACUGCGAAAGCAUUUGCCAAGGAUGUUUUCAUUAAUCAAGAACGAAAGUUAGGGGAUCGAAGACGAUCAGAUACCGUCGUAGUCUUAACCAUAAACUAUGCCGACUAGGGAUCGGAUGAUGUUAAUUUUUUAAUGACUCAUUCGGCGCCUUACG
rnacentral:misc_RNA from 1 species